GUGCUUGCUUCAGCAGCACAUAUACAAAAAUUGGAAUGAUACAGAGAAGAUUAGCAUGGCCCCUGCACAAGGAUGACAUGCAAAUUCAUGAAGCAAUCUGUCUACUA
ensembl:snRNA U6 U6 spliceosomal RNA